rnacentral:rRNA from 1 species
AGUGAACGCUGGCGGUAGGCCUAACACAUGCAAGUCGAACGGCAGCACAGUAAGAGCUUGCUCUUACGGGUGGCGAGUGGCGGACGGGUGAGGAAUACAUCGGAAUCUACUUUUUCGUGGGGGAUAACGUAGGGAAACUUACGCUAAUACCGCAUACGACCUACGGGUGAAAGCAGGGGAUCUUCGGACCUUGCGCGAUUGAAUGAGCCGAUGUCGGAUUAGCUAGUGGGCGGGGUAAAGGCCCACCAAGGCGACGAUCCGUAGCUGGUCUGAGAGGAUGAUCGGCCACACUGGAACUGACACACGGUCCAGACUCCUACGGGAGGCAGCAGUGGGGAAUAUUGGACAAUGGGCGCAAGCCUGAUCCAGCCAUACCGCGUGGGUGAAGAAGGCCUUCGGGUUGUAAAGCCCUUUUGUUGGGAAAGAAAAGCAGCAGGUUAAUACCCCGCUGUUCUGACGGUACCCAAAGAAUAAGCACCGGCUAACUUCGU